UCAGAAGGAAGUGACUCUGGACUUCUACAAAAAAGUUGUUUCAGGCAAAGAAGGGGCUUGCUUUCAGUGGCCAGCCUGACUUGCAGACAGUACAGCCUCUGCCUUGGAGAGAGCUGAAAAUGGAACUGAGAUUCUACAGGUAUCCGCCACACUACCAGCAUGCAGAGGGAAGAAAGGCAGAGUUAAGGACAUGGUAGAAGUGACCAUUCCCAUGGAUUACAGACUUGGAAGACAAAAGCUGGGGAACACAAAGAAACAGUUGGACGUGCCCAUGCAGAAAAACAACCCCAAAAAGGAAAUGCCUGGCUCUUCAAAGGAAGACCUUUUGUUUCCAUCCAGGAUGAUAAAUGGGUUUUAGCUUGAUUUUCUCAGAGGGAAGCUUAUGUGAUUGUACUGUCUGUCAUCUGUCUACACCGAUAAGUUUUUAACCGCCAGAGUCAAUUAUAAUUAUUUCCAAAGGAAAAAAACUGCCAGAGGCAGACAUCUCCAUGAUAAUUAUAUUUCUGCGGAUUUUGUGAAAGACAGCAGCAGACUGGGUUGGGGCUAAGGAGGAGGAGGAGGGAGAGGAGAAAGCACAAGACCACACUGAGAGUGUGCCAUGUCAAGGAAGUCUGGGAGGCCUCAGCUGACCUUCAGCCCAUCCUGGCUGAAGGCAGCCAGCCAGCCUGUCUGCAGCACUGGAGAGUCAGUGGGCAUGGGUGUCUCUGCAGACACCUCACAAAACAAACUGUUCUUGUCCACGGGUGCGAUUUCACAGGGGACAUCACUGUGGCUGUGGCUGCUGCGGUGCAGAGCAGGAGCAGGCACAGCCUUUCUUUCUGCUGGCUGUGAUGCAGGGAUCUCGUUUUGUUGAUGCAGGCAGUGGCACUGUGUUGCCCUGGGCCUGUACUUGCAGGCUGCAGAACCUGGGUGGUGGCUGGGCUGGGCUGGGCUGGGCUGGGCUGUAGGUGCCCCCAGGCAGGACAGACAGGCAAAGUGCAAGGCAUGGUCAGCAUAUGCUCCAUGCUGCGACUAAUUGAACAUAAUGGGUGCACUGCUAACAAAGACUCGUAGUGUGGAGGACAGUGUGUUCUCUAUGCUCAGAGACCUGCCAGCCACUAAUGAAAGCUGCUAAGGCCAGCUUUGUAAAUGCAUUUAGGUGACUGAGCCAGGUAUUUGAGGACAGGUAGAACCUAAUUCUCUUUGACAUCAAAAGGGACUCUGACUUGCACUGCAUGGGAAGUCAUGUCUUUAAACAGCUUCAAAGCUAUGAACAUUUCUCCUUAAAUAUUUUAGAAGAAUUGACCCUCUCUCUGAGUGAAUCUGGUGUGAAAUGAGAGGUUUCUAGAACCCUUGAGAACCAAGUAACUCAGCUGAACCUUUCCCUGGAAUGAUACAUACUGCUUCACCAUUACAGGAUGUUCUUGGAAGGAGCAAAAUGCCUAAGAUGAAAGCAGAUCACCAUCUUCAAUGCCUACCAUGACAUGUAAUUCCUCUUGGCUUGUCAAUAACCUGAUCCAGUUCUCCAGGUCUUAUGUAAGUGGAGGGCAGCUGCAGGUAACCCCCAGGUUGUCUACCUGGCUGUCUCAGCUGCAGCCUCCAGUGGGAGUUCAGUGACCUGGAACACAAAUCUGCUUUCAAAAGCCCUCAUGGCAGGAGAGUUUCACAGGCUGGAGUUUCACCCCCCUUAUCUUGCUCUUAGCUCAACCUUUCCCAGAGUGCUUUCUGUUGAGCAAGAGUGAACAAGAUAUCUUGUCUCCCACAUCCCCCCACAAAGUCACUAAUGUCACUAAGUUGCCUGAUGAAUCUCAGCAGCUACAGCAGCAGCUGAAGAAAGGAAAUUGCAAAAAAUGCAUUCAAAUACAGAACAAGAGUAGGAAGAGAGUAAGCGAAGAAGGGGAGGGUUGGGAGCAUGAAAGAAGCACUGUUUCCUUAAAACAGUUUGUUUUUAAAUGGAGGACAAAUGAUGGCAUUUUAGCCCUACCAAACAUCUGUGAAAGUUAACAUUUCUUCACAGCACUGCUUUAUUUUUGCCUAAGUCUUCAGCAAGUAUUACUCAAAGUUAAUUCAGGGUUUGGCCCUUGGGAAUUUAUUUAAUGUGCUAGUGCUUAGAAGUCCAUUAAUAUUUAUAAAUGUCACUUGAAUUCCAUUUUUACCUUCUUAUCCAGGCAGGAGCACUUGUAAAAAAAUUUUUUUUCCUGUGUUUUUGUUGGGUUUGGUUUUGUUUUGUUUUGUUUUUUUUUUUCAAAACCAUAGUAAGCUAGGGGUUGAGCCUGUUCUAAAAAUGUCAUAUUCUAUACAGCUGUGAUAUACAGUUUUGCUGGCCUGCCUAUGCCCCGAAGAAGGGCCUGAGAGUUAGAUGUUAGGCCUGAAAAAAUGGAGAUGGUGUCUAUUCUCAGCUCUGCCACUGGCUAAUUAUGCAACCUUAGUCAGUUCAUUUAACCUCGGCACGCUUAGGUUUCCAGAUCAGAAGCGAAAGGGAUAAAAGGCUGCUCUGUGAAUCUUUUGUGGAGCCUGAGGGAGAACAAGGUAUUACCCAUCACGUUGCUGCCUUGUGAGCUCUGGGUGUGGGUGGUUUCUGUGUUAGGGUAGAGUACCUGUGGUGAGUGAGUCCAGGAACACAGAUGGAGGCCUGGCCACUGCAUUUCUUGCCAAGGGAGACAGCCCUCACAGUCGGUUUGACAAAUCACAGCUACUGACACCCUUUGCUUUAGGCACUCAGGCUUUUAUGUCACUCUUCAGCAGUUUCCUGCCAGCCACCGCAGCCACUGCCUCCUGUACAUUGGCUUUUGUAUGUGACUCGUGCCUGUCACAGCUUGCUGACCCCAGAGAGUGAUCAAUGGUAUUCCAAAGAGCUGUAAAACAGUAUAAAAUGGCAGAUCCGUGCCUAGUAGUGGUAAUAAAAUAAGUUGUCUAAUUUAAAGACCAGAAGUGUGCCUUGAAAGUCAUAAAUGAGAGACUCAGACAGUUUUUAAAAUAUAUGACCUCUCACUUUUGGAGCACUUGGACUUUAACACAGCGUUGCAAAAGCAACUGUGCUUUUCACAGCUGCUGAGAUGUGUCUCUGUGAGCUUCUACACCAUGUGCUUCUGGGCAAAACAAGAGUGAUGUUAGAAAGUGGUUAAAAGCAUGCAGCUCUUGUAUUACAGCAGGGGUUGCUUUGUGUUCCUGGUUCAGAACAGAAAGCAGAGCUGCCCAACCUUUGUUUCAGUGGGUAUCUGAACUGCCUUGCUCUGCACAGUCCCGCUGCCCAAAACUAUCAGCAAGCAGAGGCAUUGCAGACAUUUCGCAGCAGCAGAAGGCAGAGCAUUACAAGACAAAGUAUUUCAGGUGCACACCUAGCUGGAUGGCACAGCAACCUCCAACACAAUCAGGGAAACUGCAUGCAAAGAGUUAUCUUUGAGGGAUUUGUGAGACUCAGCUCAGUAGUACAGGAGGCAGCAGCACCUGAGAGCGCAGCGCUCUCCCACGCGAGGCUCUGGCUCUCCGAAAUUUCCCAUGCGCGCUGUUUUGCUUCUAGGCCAGUGUGGGUGUGAUAUGUGUUACCUUAGCAACAGGGACAAGUGCGUGCUGCAGCUGUAGCCCUCUCUUUGCAGCAGGAGAGCAUCCCUGGUUUUCUUACAGAAAACGCUGCGCAGCUCCCCGCAAAGGGGACACCAGUGCCUGUGGCUAUCAGCGUGCUGGCACGCAGGGCACGGAUACAGAUAUGAGCUACGGCUGACGCAGACAUGUCUUCCCUGCUAUCCCCUGCUCCAGCUUGUCUCUUCUGGCCUCCAGAGAACAUCAACUGAGUCAGUCUGGCAGGAGCAGGAUCAGCAGCUUUGUGUCAGCCCCCUCCAUCAUUUCUCGAUUCAGAUGGCUCCCACAGCUCAAGGCUUUUUACUAAACUUGAAUGCCAGAGGAUGUCUGAGUGCUUUAUGAAUAUCUGGAGGAAACAAACGUGGCAGCCAAGGCAUCGGUACCCAUUAAUCACUUAGGGAGUGAUUAAUUUGCUGGGGGAGAAUUUAAGAGACUAGAGACUCAAGAAGCAGGGGAUGUUUGUGGGGUAGACCCACCCAAUAUAAAGCCAAUAUAAAUGCUGCAAAACCCCAUAAAUGGAGCAAAUCUGCGCGAGCCAUAAAACCUAUGGAAAUUGAGUUUCUCACAGAAUUUUGAUUCUGCCCUGGCUUUCAUCCUCUGUUGAACUCUGGGACUUGUAACAACAUUGUAAAUAUAAACAUAUCUAGAAACAUACAUAAAGCUGUGUUCCCCCAAUAUAUUUAACAGUCCUUUUUUUUAAUGCCUCACCAACACAUAUGUUUGAGAACAAAAUAUGCAUAGAUUCAAAAUGUUAAGGUAACUCUACAUUAAAAAUUCUAAGAGGAGCUGCUCCUGGAAAAAAACCCCAAAAACACGUUGAAACAUUUGCUGAAAUAGUCAAAUGUAUCUAUUACUGCAAACAUAGGAAAAAGGAGCAUUUAUCCUCGCUUUUAAAUUAAGUGCAACAACUGAUCACUUACAAGUUCUUCAGUGUUUUUGAACACUUUGUGUUUCACCUGCACUUAGUGCAUAUAACUGCAGCCAGGAGCAAACGUACCCCUGGGAAAGCUGGUCUUCCACAGGCUUUUAGCGACCCGGAGGAUGCCCUCAGCCCCGGGUUAGCUGACUAAGGGGAAGGCACGGGGGAAGCGAAAGCGCUCCCUCCGCCCGCUCCCGCCCCCGCCGGGCCGCGGCCCUGCCCACUCCAACGGGGUUUUUGCCCUUCAAAAAAUAAAGAUGUUUCGUAAUCAACAAGGCGGUGGAGGAGUCGCCCCGUCAACGCUUCCCCUUUUAUUGGAUCCGGCAUCUUCCCCCGGCAGCCAUUUUACGCGGCCCCGAACGCCACGCUGUGCGUGCGGGGAGACGCGAUCCACAACACCGCGGCCCCGGAGCUCAGGCGGGCGUGGGAUAUACGUCCCGCUAAUCACUUUCAGAAGACACGAAACAUCACCCAAAACAAGCCUUAUCGCAGCUCAACUCCCGCGGGUUGCUGCGGACUACCGGCGUGGGGGGGAGCGGGGCGGGCCGUGAAGGCGGGCCGUGAAGGCGGGCCAGCCCCGCGCGCCCGCCCCCGCGCGCCGCCCGCCCGCCCGCUGCGGCGCCGCUCGAGCCGUCGCUGCGCCGGGCCGCGCCACCGCCGCCGCUCCGCCAUGUGGCUGCUGGCCGCCUCCGUGCUGCUCGGCGCCCUGCGCGCAGGUUCUGCCCAGUUGUCACUUUCUGGGACAAGUAUUGUAGAAAAAAAUGACUGUAAUGAAACUGUAGUUUUACCUUGUUACGUGACUAAUCUAAAGCAGAACAAUGAAAAUGCCAUGUUUGUUACCUGGAAAAAGCAAGGAGUUACAAUUUUUUCUUACCAUGGAGGAAACAAGAAGUUUAAUAUUGAUCCCUCAUUUUCGUCUGCAAGAUUUUUAUCCCAACCGGAUUUAAUCACGGGUGUGGCCUCACUGGUGCUGGACAGUGCACAAGCAACUGUUGGAAAUUACAGCUGUAAAGUAACAGAAUCAAACAGAGAAGGAGAAAUAAAAAUGGAACUUAAAAACAGCUCAGUUGUCAGUUGCGGCGACGAAACACCAGAGGAAAAAUGUGGAUCAUGGUUCCUUCUAGUGGAAAGGGCUGUCAUCAUAUCAUUGGUGUGCUUACUUGUUAUUUUAUGUGCAGCUCAGUUAAGUGUUAUUGGAUUAAAAUAUGAAAUUGAAUCUCAGAGGAAAGUGUGCAUUAUUGUAGCACUUGUCAUCUUUGCAGUUGUAGCUGGUGUAGGUGCUGCUCUUUUUAUGCAAGAUGGAUAUACUGUACAGAAUCAGGCUGGUCUUGGCCUAAUUGUAAUCCCUGCUGUGAUUUUGGUACCGCUUCAGUACAUCAUGUUUGGAAUUGUUUUUGACAGUCUACUGCAGGCAACGUUGGCUCUGAUAGGUUUGAAACUUCUUGGAUUUAUAAUUGGUCUGGUUGGUUUUGCACUGUGUGUUCCAGCCUGUCCUCCAUUACAUGGGUCUGUUCUGAUUGCUGGCUUAGCUAUUAUGGCUAUUGCAAGUUUGCUUAGUCUGGCUUACGUGUUUAUUAUGGGUUCCAGAAUGAAAGAUCAUCCUCGUCCGGGGCAUUUCUGUAGGUUGCAUGUGUUGUUUCUGAUGAUUGUCUACCAGACUAAAUGCACAACUGUCAUGUAUUUCUUUCUGAGGAGAUUCCACUUGAUUUGCUUGGCUACUAAUUUUCUUUUCUUUUUUAGUCCUGCUGCUUUGUUACUAACCAUUGAUCAAAUGACAGAAAUUGUCAGUUAGGUUUUAGAGCUUAAAAGUAGUAUCUGCAUGGCUUCCGCUGCCACCUAGGGGUAUUUCAUCUGGGUAAACGUCACAGUAAGGGAAAACUACUUGGAAAAUGCAGCUAUUGACUGAUACAAUUUUUUUUUCAGACCUUUAGUCAUUAAUUUGAUUAACAUUAAGCUUUCUUCAUUUUUGUAGAAUCACUACUUACUGUAUAUGUCAAUUAGAGUAAUUUAACUGUGGCCAGCCAGAAGUAAACAUGAAGGCUUUUUAUACAUAUAUAUAUUUUUAAAUGUUUUGCAGAAAGCUGUAGAAGAACCACUAAAUGAUGCAAAAGGAGUGAUGUUAGAAUGAUGAACUGCAGAGUUAUGUGAUGCGUAUAUAAAAAGUACACCGUUGUUGAUACGCCGUGGCCUUGAAGAUGCACUACUCAUCGAGAAGAAAUUCAGGACUCUAGUUGUUCUGCAUGUGUGGCAAAAGUGCUUUUGAUAUAAAUGACAUUAUUUUAUAGUCACAGCAGCUGUAGCAAGGAACAUGUGUGCUUGCCCACAUGUGAUCUUUAUUUUGUUUUGUUAUGGUGUAUAUGGGAUGGUUGAGGGUGAGAAUAUAAAAAGCAUUAUUUGCCCAGUACAGAGUCUCCCUGCAGUAAUCCUUAGUGGUAUUAUUUUUAAAAACUAUCAUUAGUCACUGCUUUGAUAAUGGGCCUGCUGAGCCCGGAGAUUGCAAUACCAUUUAGACUAUUGUUUUCUUUAUUUGUGUGCAUGGACAAAGUAUGGUUUAUGUGUAUGAUACAAGCAGGAAGUAGAGAUUGUACAAAUACAUCUUUUCUGACAUUCAGCAAAUUUUUAUUAAAGAAAUACAAAGUUACACACAAAGUUGCAUAAGUACAAAGUUUACUCCCAGCUCUCCUGAAAUUAUUAACUAAGUUCUAAUUCCACAAGAUGUUGGUAUGCCUCUCUGUGGACAGUAGUCAUGUGUGCUCUGGUGGCUGAUAUUUUUGUCCAGUGAGAGGGCUCUCCGUGCCUCCUCUGUAUCCUUUGAUGAGAAACUGCUCAGCUGUUGGAGCCUAAUUCAGCACUGGAAUUACAGAGCACAGGAGCUGGUAAUCUUAAUGCUGAAUGUGGUUCUUGUAUGUGUUCAUGUUGUGCAGUGUGUGGAAUUGGAAGCAAUUUCAGGCUUUCUUAACUCAGUGAAUUUGUGAAAGUUGUGGAUCCUUCAUAAAAAUAGGAGUUUCCUAUUUAGUAUAUUUUUGACAGUUUAAAACCUUGUUUUCUUGAAUGGAAAAGAGCGAUAUAAUUUCUGGCCCAGGUUUGUGUUGCUACCAUUACAUCAUAAAUACAUAAAAUAAAAAGUAGGAGGAGCUGAUGAGGAGUGAGGAAGCUCAGUUUCUGUAUAUAUCUAAUGAUGAUGUGGUUAAAAAUCAGUUUACUAGGACUUGCACAUUCCAUGAGAUUCUAUGUUUUACAGCUAUGUUCUACAGCUAUUUUGAGAGUUGUUCCAAUAUAGUUAGCUGCUCUUGGACUUUGUGUAUGCUUUGUAGAAAUCUUGACACUGUUUCCUGUUUGUACUAAGGUACUGUAUUUCAAAGGCACACACGGUUUUCUCCUUCUAACAAUUUAAAAGUUGGGCAGCUUUGGAAAGCUGUUACCAAAGUCACAUAAUAAAAUCCAUGUUUUUAAAGUUCCCGAGUAAUUUGGCAGUUCUCAGAAUUGAAUGUUCCAAAUCAAAGUUCAUAUCCAUGUUGUGGGUGCAUGUCACAGGGAUUUGAGUCUCUGCACGUUGAACUCCCGAGUCACAUUAAGAAUUCAACAAAGCAAAACUGAGGUGUCUGAUUCUACAGUAGGUGCUGUCAGAAUCGUCCCUCUUGCCAAGGCUGCAGGACUGAGCCAUUUUAGGCAAGCUAUGGGCCAGCUCUCACUGGGAUCAGUGGAACUGGGCACAGGGAAGAGGGUCACACAUGCGAUAAAAUAUGGGAGAAUCAUAUAUGGCUCACAUUUACUGUCCUCCCUUGCCAGUGGGAUUAUUCGUGUAAGGUUUGAGCUCUUACAGAUGAAUAUUUUGGUGCAGGUUUUUCCAUAAUCUCAGUGAUACCUAACUAAAGAUGGGAGAUGGUUCUCCAUUACAAUUCACUAUAAAAAUUUUUCUAAUUUAGUAUUGUGCAGUGUUCCCUGUUUAUAACUAGUGAUUCCCUCUGGCAAGUUGCAAGUCUUAGCAGCAGAGGAAUAAAAAACCAAAUCAACUGGAAUUCUUUAGAGGUAUUCUGCCUUAUAAAAACAAUUAUUUAUAAUAGCUUUAUGUUAAUUUCUGUAAAGCAAACUGCAGUAGAACCCCGCUGUGUCACUGUGGGAUCAGGCUGAGCUGUUCCUAGGAAUUGUCAAAACCUGAGGAGCUCAGUGGCUGGCUAUGGGCUGCAGAAUUGUGGUCCCAGAAAUGGGAGAAACCCACCAUCCUGUUGCAUUAAGGGCUGGAUUUCUUGUAGGUGGGAAUUGAAAAGUGAGUGUUCAAAAAGUCAUUGGUACACCCAGCCAGCCCUUUCCCACCAGUAAUUUAAACCAAAGUUGUUCAUAACUUAUGUUUUCAUUUGUGUGUGUACAUAUGUGUGUAUAUAUAAAUAUAUAGACAUUUUAAAUAUCUAUAGAUCUAUAGUCUUUACCCAAGAAACUGUUUUUAUUUAUGAAACAUGAAACGAUUUUGUAAAUAUUGUGCUAAUAUACUUAAAAAUAAAGUCAUUUUAAGUUGUU